rnacentral:lncRNA from 1 species
GGUCACACUUGGGUUCAUCUUCAUGAGGUGUAAUGGCGCCGGGAUGCGCUCUCCUCUUCUCAUUUGCCAAUUUAUUGCAGAUCCCUCCUCAAAAAAGUUUUGGGACUAACUCAGCCCCAUGGAGAUCAAGGUGAAUUAGAAAAACAACAAAACAAAACAAGAUUCAUUUUAACAUCUCAUUUUUCUAUCUCCAACUUUCCCUCCCCUCCUCCCACCCCAGGAAGAAAAGACUACGUUUGUUUCUGGUGAUACAUUCAUUGUAGGUGGGUGGGUGACUUCUAGAAGAGGAAAAUCAAGAAGAUUUGGAGAAGGAGUCUUGGAAGCUCUGGUGAAGUUUUCCAAAACUGGGAAGGACAGAGCCACAGGUCUGCCUGUUCUUUUGCUUUGCCAUUUGUGUGGAUACCUAGUAGAGCAAUUUGGGUGCCAUUCUUUGAGGAAUCCAUUGGAUCUGUCAGAAAGCUGAGUCUGCUCAGCCUGUGUUAGUGGAGAAGAGGGAAGGAAACUGGCUGGAGGCCGCUGGACCCACAGAGGACAAUAGACAAUCUCCUGCUGAUGCCCACUGGAUCCAAAGAGAGAAACUCUAUAGAAUUAUGAUCUAGGUUUGACUGACUCCUGGCAAGAAGCCCUACCCGCCAGCCAAUUUGGAUGAGGUCACAGGGGUCAUCCAUCUUUCCUUCUAUGUGACUGGUUUGCUCUUGCAUAUCAUGUUUUCCGCUCUUAUGCUCCAGAUCCAUCAUGAGAAGAACAUGCCCUGGAUUCCUGCUAUCCCUUUAGCCAUGGCUCCAAAAUUAACACACACAAGGAAGACCUGAGGUCAAUCCACAGCCUGGAUUCAAGUCACCUAAUACAUAGGAGAAUCAGAGCUACCCAGCCACACUCAAUCUACGUUAACUGAACCUCAGCUGACCUGCAGAUUUAUGAGUAUGAGAAUAAAGGCUUGUUAAUGUAUAUCA